GGGAGAUCUGGAUUAUAAUCCUUUGCCAAACAGCCUUUACUCAAUCUUACACAUUGAUUGUUCCUUAAAUCCUUAUAAAGCCUCUGAUGGGGACAAUAAGCCUACACGGCUGCUUCCAAUCUAGAAUAUAGAAAGCAUGACCUUGAUUUAUGUUUUGUCUUGCUAUCUUUAUAGAACAAUACAUCUUAAAUUCUUUUUGCACAGGAACGCCUCUGUAACAGAAAGGGCUGGAGAUGUUCUUUCUCUCUCUUGUGCUGCAUUGAAGAGCCUAUAAAGGUCAGGAAGCAAUAGAAAAUACAGAUGUGCAUCCUGCUGAGUGGACAAGAGAAUGAAAUAAGCCUUUCCCUGCUUCCAGGAUGAGUGUUCGAACUGUAUCCCCAGCAGAAAUUGCUCAUCUAGAUGUCAUAAGAUAAGAUAGAUGGAAUGAUUUUCAGCAUUGUUCAUGUACCUUGGACAUGGAAGGUGGGCUUCAAGGUGAAAGUAUAUCUGCUCAGUAUCUUCUCAUCUGCAAGGCUGACAUGUGCCACUUGGAGGACAAAAGUGACUUCAGGAAGGACUGACAGCUAAACACUAAUUUUCAAAAAUCAAAGCCUUAAGCCUGCAUGCCAUAUUCUUAUGCUGACAAGUCACUGACAGAGUAUCAAGAAAUGGAGGCCACAAGAAACCUACCAAAUUCCCUGCAGAAGAUACCUGGGACAUAAUCGGAAUGAGUAAGUACAAAUGCAGUGUAGGCAUGUGAAUACUAG
rnacentral:lncRNA from 1 species